rnacentral:lncRNA from 1 species
GAAUAUUAUUUGUUUAAUUAUCUAACAUAACAAUUUUAGAUAAUUUGCAUAUCUGUUGAGUUUUAUUGGAUACUACUUUUCCUUCAAUUUUCUUUAGAAGCAAAAACCUUUAUAGUUCCAUUCUUUUUGUCAAAAAUGAAAAACACCUAGAGUUUAGAUAUUUUAGAUGAUUUGAUGUACCGAAUUAUAGAUAACACUUGCAUGACAUGGUUUAUG